AUCCACUGAGCCAAACUGGUCAGGGAAAGGGUGUUCACACUCUUAUGUGGGAUGUGCCUCCCACCAACCUUGUUACAUCUUCAGCACAUUUUCCCUCUGACA
rfam:Myotis davidii contig165294, whole genome shotgun sequence.